AGAUGGAUCUUCACAAAAAUUCAACAACUAUCGUUCUGGUUUGUUUCUGUGAUUUUCUCCAUGUUGUUUUCCAACGCGUCGACAAAUUUCGUGUUCUCCGUUGGCUACAAGUUCAACGGUGCUGCUUUUGCGGUGGAUCUGCAGCUCGAGGGCAAUGGCUAUCCAUUCAAAAUCAUUACUUCGCCAAGCUUGGGAUUGAACCUGUGGAACCAGCCCGUUUCAAACAGGUCGGGUUAGGUCCGGUUCUACAUCUCAAAAUCCUUAUACCUGCCUUGCCCUGGGCCAUUGCAUUUUAAAACGGGUCUGGUCCUAUCCCUUCAAAUUUGGGCCCGGCCCGGCUCGUGCCCACCCCUAGUUCACACCCUUUUAGCGAAUAUCUAAGCAUCGACACUGCAAACCGAAAGUUCUCGAAGUUAAAAAGUACAUACAUGGUCUACCUGCUCGACGAGUUCAUUUUAUACAUUGGGCAGGCCAACGCUCCAGAUGCUGGUUUCUUUCUUCUUCCAGGACAAAACAUUUUUUCUUUUUGAAACUAUAUAGUGUGAAUUUGAUCAUACAAAGUAGUUUCCUAUAUUUAAUUAUGGAUAUUUGGAAUAAUUGAGUUUUGGUGUCCGUUGGGCAAUCUGGGCUCUCCUAAUUUGCAUAAAUACAAAGAUCAGUUGCAUGUAAGCGGUGCAAUAUGGGAAAUUUGGGCAAAUUUGCGAUGCCAAAACCUAAUCUAGGUCCUCAGCCAAAAAAGAUGGUGAUACUUCUCAACGCGAUUUUGUCAGCAUGGGAGUGAGAGAGGACGGACAAGAGAUGGGAGGAAUGACAGAGGCAGAAACAACGUCCUAGAGUAUGGAAUCCAAGGUCAAUAACGAUGAUUGUUGAAGCUGAGAGUGAACAAAGUUAUGGCGGGAUCGACGAGGGCAACCUCCCAAUUGAAGUCGGUGAUGUUUUCCAGUUGGUAUUACGUGUAUUAUUCAAUUGUUUAAGGUCAUUUUGGGUGUUUGAAAGUUUCAUUAAAGGGCUCAGUGCCUCUUGCAAAUUAGGUUUGUGCAGAAGCUGUGGAAGUAAAAAAAGUCGGUUUUUCAAAGCUAGCUUUUGCUGCUUUAAACUUUCAGCUUUUUUCACCCAAAACGGUAAAAAAAACUGAAGUUGAAUGUUUACCAAACACAAAAAAAGCUCAUAGUUUUUUUUU